GGGUCCGUAGCUCAGUUUGGACGGAGCGGACGGCUACGAACCGUCAGGUCCUGGGUUCAAAUCCCAGCGGACUCG
rnacentral:tRNA from 1 species